UAGACGAGCCAGGGGACUUUGAAGCAAAAUACAAAUGCCGUCAUGUCACAGGUCACCGUCUAAGGAUGAAGAGUCGUGCUCUUCCUUUUCGUCAGCCCUACUGCACUAUCUUGUUGGACAACCUGGACUGGGUUUGGCUGAUGAAAUCUGCUCUCAUCCUCGCCAUCAUCAGAGAUACGAAAAUGAUUCUCUCUUCCAAAUCAGCAACAUAUGGACCAGCUCAGAGAAAAGUGCUGACGCUUUUGUGUGGGAAAGGAAGAAGAGCAGUUUGUUUUCUAAUGUAAAGCACAGUCUUCUCUGCUUGUAGGCUGUUUCUGCAGAAAGAUCUGCACAGUUGAACUAUGAACUCCAGAGUGGCCCCACAUCGGCUGUGAGUGUGUGUGUGUACAUAUGCACAUAUUGCUUUGCUAUUGCUACGAUUUUUAUUGUAUAAUUCCCUUGGUAAAAUCUUCCAAGACAGAGCUAUCUGCUGUAAAAACAGGAGCAGGGCCAGGGACUUUAGAGCCCUUUCCCCACAUAAAGCUCACUCCAAGCAAUACCUGGAGGAUGUCAGCACUGCUUCAUCAGUUUUACACUCCUUUUGCACCUGCAACAGACAUUUGAAACAUCUCUGUGUCUCUCAGAUGCCUUGUUCGGCCCAGGCAGCUUGGUGCUGCUCUGCAAUGAGCAACAGUACCACCCCGUGGCCAUCUGCUUCAGCACACCUUGCCUUCCCUGGGGACACCUGAAGUGAGUGCUCGAUCUGUUAAACCUGUCUGCAGGUUCACAGCAAAUGCUCAAGAGCGCCUGAGCCGCAGUUACAUUUCUUGCUUCCCCUUGUGCACUUGGAUGGGGUUAGAGGAUCAGCCCAGCCCACGCCAGGUAUUGCCGGAUGUUUGGGGGCUUUGGGGGGAUUUUGGCAGGUGAAGUGCGUGCGCAAGCAGUAGAGGGUUAUUCACCAUUUUCUUUCUGCUGGACGAGGCCCCAUCCACUGUGUGGAGUCGGGGCAGGGAAGAGAGGGAGCCCUGGAGAGGGCUGCCUGCGGGGACGACAGCGAUGUGGGAGCCCGGCCAGCUCUGCUUCCCGCAGCGCCCGGAGCCACCGAGGAAGCACGGCAGUCAGGCACUUGCGAGUACGUUGUGCCCGUGGAUGCUGUGAGAGCGUCGGAAUGUGCCAGAUGCCCUACAGUAAGGGGGAAAUAGUGUGGUUUUAGACCUCUGUUAAAACUAAUGAUUUUUCUGGGCCAUAUAGCUUGGUUAUUACCAAAGUCUGUGAUGAAACACUAAAAACCAGGGGGGUUACUGACAAGAGAAAACACACAGAGCUUGAACAUUACUCAAAAUAUUUUAAUGUACAUGCUGUAUCCAUUUUAAAGAAAGGGAAAAAAAUCUUAAAGACAAAAGAUUGCAGAGGAUGUGACUUCAUCAUGCCAAAAAUAAAUAUUUAAAGGGACUGAAGCCAAUAGUUUUGAAACACCUCUUGUUCUGGCAUGUGAUAGCCAGCCUUAGAGGUAAGGAAAAGGAGAAAGCAGUAUUUAUUUACCUGAUCGAUUAAGUUGAUGUGAUCAGUCAGGUAAAUAGCAAGCAUUUUUAUAUUAAUGGGGGUCUUUUAACAGCUCUAAACUUGUUAUGAAUAAAAAUACUUAAUAGUUUUAUUCAUUUAUACUUGGCAGGCUGGAACAGCUGUAGUAUAGUGGGUAGAUAAUUAGAUACUUACAAAGAGUCACGACUGACAUAGAAUAGGACACUUAACUGUAUAACUCCUAUUAGAUGAGAUGUUUGAGUAACAAUAAGGGUCGAACACUUAACUGCAGGACAGCGAUGUAGUAGUAGCUAUCGGUAGUAGCUAUCGGCGGUGCAGUAUCCGCCUCUGUUACACAGUGAGAGCUGCAAGUUCGACAGUCUGGACCAUGCCAACUGCCCUUAUAAAAGUGACAGCCUGCAACCAGCAACUCCCCAGCCCCUAGUUCAACCUUAACUUCCUCAGUGUGGGAUUGAUGGCACUAGACCUCCCAGCUGGUGCUAUCUACCCCAGUUUUUUUCUCAAGAAAUACAGCUGUGGAAGGACUCCAGCUCCUUUCUGUCCUGUGUGGGUGGCUGAGCUUGGAGAUGCAGAAGACAAGAUUACCUCAAGGACUAAACAUCCUGAACUCAGAACCUCUCAUUCAGUGGCAAUACAGCGAUUAAGCCCAACCUAAAGUAAACAUCUAAGUCUAGUGAGCUUCUAGACUGUGGAUAACAGGACUUCAGACAUGGCCCACAGCAGACAUCUAAACUUUAUGUUUUUAUCUGUAGAAUAAUCCAGUCAGAGCAAAAGCCUUUCACUUCUUUAUCAGGCUCCCAGUCAUGAGCAACAUGCAAGCUCCUAGGGAACCUGACCUGCUCUGCUUCCUUUGGGCAAUCAUUGCCCCAGGUCAGGACUAGUUGAGGGCUCAGACCAGUGCAGAGCUAGGGUAGUGCUUACUGGGGGUUGUAAAGUUGCUUUUUUUGCUGGUAAGGGGGAUGGAUGAGUUUCUUUGCUUCGAGUAUGGCAUGAGCAAGCCUCCUGCUGCUAUAGAAACUGAGUUUGUCAUGCAGCAGCCAGCUCUCACCUGUGUUAGCUGAAAGCUUUUUUCCAGUUUUCAGUGCCUUCACUAGGAGCUAGCAUCUUUGCUGACAGGCUGAGCUUUGCCUGCUGUAGAAGCAGAUAGGAGUCAGGUUAAGUGAUUAAAUAGUUAAAUUAACUGCAGGAUGAUUUGAUGCUGGUGCAUGUGCUUCCACUAGCAGGCUGCUAGCCAUAAGCUGUAAUCUAUGGAGCCUCAGGGAAUACACUGGAAGGUUAAGCACUGAAUCCCAUAUUUAAGGAUAUAGAUAUUUUCAAAACUAGCAGUCAGCCACCAAUGAAUGUAGCAGUAUUUUUGCCAAUAGCUACUUGCAAAGCUAAGUGCUGAUGGCAGCCUUCAUCCUGUAUAAUGCUUUCAUCCCAAAAUGAAGAUGGCACCAGCACAGGAUUCUUUACCUGGGUGGCUCCUUUGCCAAUAUCAGAAGCAAAGCCUUAUUCCUUAGUCAUUGUCAGAUUUUUUUUUUUCUCUUGCCAGGCUCAAACUGUCAAUAGGAUGGAGAUGGUUACUUCCCCCAGACAAAUGCUUACUUUGAGCAGUUAUACUCAGUUCAGCAGAACAACCACCUCUUCUUAUUUCACUACCAUUUAGUUUAGGCAUUCUUUUCUUGCUGCAUUCCUAGCAAUUUUCCAACUGGCCAUCCGUUCCCACACGCUCUUAGCACUCCUCAGUCAGGGCUGAGGACACCAAGAAGGCAGAGCGCUGGCUCUGUAACACCUAAAGCCACUGGAGGGUCCAACCCUGGUGCCCCAGACAAUAAAGAGCCUCUGUUACUCCCAGCUGCUCUGAAGUUAAUGAGGUUACCCAGGAGUGAAAGUAAUGCAAGGAAAUACACCACCAAGCCCACAAAACUGAAUGCUCUGGUUUUCCAAGGAAGCCCUAAUUUGAACAUAAGCCACGGUCAUAUGUUGCAGUUCUGCCAAGGCCACGUCCAGAGAGCAGGUAGGGUUAUGUUUAGCUCCCCUUCUCCAGUGUCAAGGUGGCUACCGGUCAGCAUACUGUACUACGCUAUAGUCGCAUUCACUAUACUUGCUUCAGCCUCUCAAAUUCAGUACACAGCUGAGAAAGUAAACGUGUGUGUGUGUGCGUGCAUGCGUGUGUGCCCUAUUGCAGUCUGAACGUGGUUCGUGCUGCAAUGCCGUGUGUUCAAAUCAAUUUAGGCUAAGAAAAGCACGGACCUUCUCCUAGGUCCCUGGUAAGUGCCCUAAUCUCAGCCUUUCCUGUGUUGGAAGGGAACAACCCAAUGAUCACUGGCUUUCAUAAUGAGUUGAUUAUGAAGGAGACCUGUUCUGCUACCUGCUUAGGUAGGCACGGUCCAAAGAUGUGGGACUGGGCACAAGUUGCCUCUGGACACUUGCAAGGUGGCUCCCUUCUGCUGCCUGUGUGACCCCUUCUGUGCAAGCAGAAGUUUACAACUGUAAAGCAUUUUACAGUCCAAAAUGGAAGUGCUGCUUUUAAGUAAGUCCUGCGACCCUGGCUGUCUGAUGUCGAUUUUUCUCCUGAACACAGUGAUUAACACAGAGCCAACUGUAACAUCUGACCUUGUGAAUAGGGAGCUUGAACCGGUGUUACAACAGAGACGCAAGGCUCUGCAGUCAGCAAAGGCAGUGCUCAAAGGAUUGCACUGAAAACAAGGAAUUCACUUGCUAUGUCAAAAACAAGUACGCCUGCUUGUCUACAUGUUACAGUGCUUCACUCUAAAAGAGAGUGCACACGCACCAUGCUGUUAUCCAUAAAAGCUAUGGCUGCAUGUGCUUUUAUGGCUUUAGCCACAUGAGAAAGCUGUGACAGGAAUAACCAGCAGGUUCAUGUGGAAGACCAGGAAUUUCCUAACUACCAACCAUCUUCUGAGUGAGAACAUGGAGCGAGCAAGAGCUGUUACUGGCAGCACUGCUGCCACAGGAGUGGCGGGGAAGGUGGUGUGUGACCAUAGAAAGUUAAGCACGCCAAGAAAACUGCUGCUUGAAUCCUAGCCACUUCCGAAGUGACUGACUAGCCAUUUCAACAGGGCUAGGACUUCACUCUCAGGCUAAAGAUGCUGAUACUAGUACUGAUGGAUAAUAAACAAAAACUAGAGAUGCGAGGGAUGCUAAAAGAAAACCACGGAAAAAUUGUACAUAAACAGAAUGAAAGCCAGCAUCUUUGGGAUGGGAGAAUGCCCCUGUGGCAGGGACAGACGCUCAGGACUAUUCUGCUCUGAACGCAACAGCCAGGCUAGGUGGACCAGCCCAGCGCAAUCGCCUCGGAGCCAGCCCAUCAGUACAGAGUCAGUAGAAAAGCAACCAGCACAGUUAGGCUCUCAGAUGAACUCAAGUAAAACUUUAGAGUAAACGUGGCCCUCAUUUUUCUUAACUGGUGAAAACAUGGAAGUGUGACAGCUACUUAGACGAAAAGCUGGCACAAAACGGGGAGAGGGAGGCAUCAUUAAAUGAAACAAAGAGGAAGAAAAUGAAGGCCUAGUAGCAGGAAAGAUUUUGCAAGAGAGGACUGGUUCACUCUGCCUUGCAGAAAUCCUGAUGGGAGGGAAUGCAGGGUGGCAGACUGGGACAGUCUCUCCUGCCAGCCCAUGCAAUUUCUUGGCAGCAUCGCUCUGGGAACUGCCCAUCAAGACCCUACACGUAGGAGCGACAGGCUCCAGGCCCCUCUUUUCCGACGUUAUAUGAAGCCAUGUUACCACAGAUGUCGUCCACCAGCGUUGCUACUGGUACGGUAUGGCUGCACGGCUGGUGCUGGGGAAAACAUAGUGACUGGAGAUCUCCCCCCCCACCCCAAGCAAAGCAGCUGCAGGGCAGCAAAGGCUGCCACAAACUCUGAUGGAAAGGACGUCACUGACUGCUGCUGCGCUGUCAGCAUGGUCCUUUCUGCACAGCCCAGCUCAACACAAAGGAAUCAGACUAAAGCAGCUGGAUACAUGGCUACUUCAUAUGCGUGCAGGGCAACGCUGCGUAGGUCAGGUACGUACUUCUGAUCUGCAGUUCUACAAUUUGUGCUUCACUGUAAAGGAAUAAAGAUUUUUGAG